AGAGUCUGGAGUGUAGGACAGUGGUCCUCAAACAUUUUAGACAGGAGGCCAGUUCACUGUCCCUCAGACCAUUGGAGGGCCAGACUAUAGUUUA